AGUGAACGCUGGCGGUAGGCCUAACACAUGCAAGUCGAACGGCAGCCCUGUAAGAGUUUGCUCUGACGGGGGGCGUGUGGUGGACGGGUGGGGAAUACAUCGGUAUCUCCUUUUUAGUGGGGGUUAAAGUAGGGAAAAUUACGUUGAUACCGCUUAUGAUAUACGAGUGAAAGACGGCGACCUUCGGACCUUGCGCGAUUACAUGAGCCGAUGUCGGUUUAGCUAGUUGGCGGGGUAAAGGCCCACCAAGGCGACGAGCCCUAGCUGGACUGAGAGGAUGAUCAGCCACAGUGGAGCUGAGACACGGUGCAGACUCCGACGUGAGGCAGCGGUGGAGAAUAUUGGACAAGGAGCGCAAGCCUGUACCAGCCAUACCGCGUGAGUGAAGAAGAGCGUCGGGGUGUAAAGCCCUUAUGUUGGGAAAGAGUAGCAGCAGGUUAAUACCCAGCUUAACGGACGGUACCCAAUGAAUAAGCACCGGCUAACUUCGU
rnacentral:rRNA from 1 species